GGUUGAUAAUUUUUUAGUUUUGCUUUAAUUUUUAUUUUAUUGUAUUUUUUUUAAUAAUUACUUUUAUUGAUUCUUUUUCUUUCUUUUUUUUAAAUUGAUGGUUAUUUUAUUUUAUUUUUAUUGAAUGGGAAAUUCAACCCAAAACCAGUUAAUAUAUAUUUCUUUGUUUUUAAUUUUAUUAAUUUAUUUUUAUUUCAUUGUAUUUUUUUGUUUCUUUUUUUUUUGUAAAUUGAAGGUGUUUUUAUUUUAUUUUUAUUGAAUGGGAAAUGUCAAAGCCAAACAGAUUAACCAAUUAAUAAAUAUACAUACAUUUAAUGGGUUAAUUAUUUUUUUUCCCUCAUUUUUUUUUUAAGUGUGUUUUUAUUUUACAUUUAUUGAGUGGGAACUCUAUACAUGACAUUGGUAUGGUUAAUUUUUACUUUAUUUCCAUUAAAUGCAAACUCUCAAACCCAGUCGGAUCAGCAUAAUUCUGUAUGUCGUGUGUAAUUCGUUCACGUCUGUAUCUCGGCUCAUGAUCGUCGGGUGAGACGGAGUUUGUCGAGGGCUGUUGUUUCAAAUGCUGUUUCUUUUCCAGAAUAUGUGAACUGUACGUGUUGUAGGUGAUCUUUCUCUAUUGUAGCUGAAACUGUAGAGCAGACAUGGCUUGUACUACUGAUUUUAACAGAAAUUAUACUAAAAAUCUGUCUAAGACGAGAUGUAAACGGAGAGUGGAGUGGAUGUUAAAGUUUUCUCUCUAUCAGAAGCCCUGGUGAGGAGCGGAGGAGUUGUAACAUAGUGGUUUAAUUUGCAGUGGAUGCUGUUGUUUUUACUGUGGUAAUUUUAGAGCUCAGUAUCAGACGCCGGGCUGUGCUCGUUUCUCCUCCGCAUUGGUGCCAGAAUAAACCAGUAUGAAUGUAGUAUUUGCCCAGUGUGAAACAAGCACAGCCCGACUGUUAGAGAAAAUACUAGAAAGGAUUAUUUCAAUUUUAUCUUUUUGUAUAUGAAAGUAAACAAUAAAUACUGAUAAAGCAUCA
ensembl:lncRNA